GGAUUCUCACGGUCAUUUGAAACCCAUGGAGGAAAAUGGCUCUUCCUGUAUUCAGGCCCUUUGUAGUGUGACUUUGUGGCAACUCCCAUCAAUAACCCUGUCCAUCAGCCAGGUGAGCAAGCCUGGGCUAGUUAGCUGAAGGAUAAGAGACCAUGUGGAGGAAGCCAGAGGAGCCAUCCAUCUGGGGCCACCCAAGGUCAGCCAGCACCUCUAAUCACAGAGCCACGAGGGAGUUAGCCCAGAUUUAGAAGCUGUGACCAAAGGUUUCAAUGGUAAAGAUGACUCAUACCUCAAAGAACUAGAAGAAUUUUUUUGUGGCUUCUCUAUCCAUUGUCUUGCUCUCAUAAAACUGCUGAAUGACACCCAAGUGUAAAACCCACCAAAGAAAUAAGCGCUGGAUGACAUGUGGCAGAUUUUCCAACUCUCCAGGAAAAACUUCAGAUCAACUUGUUUCUCUGGAAACUACUCACAUCCGGGGGCUGUCCCUGUCCCCUGGGACUCAUAAACGUUCCUAUCUUCAAGGCACAGCUAAACCUAAGGUCAAAGCUGCUGUCUGCAGGAGUCCAUCUGCCAUAGACCCACAGUUCCUAAAACCUGCUGAUCAUUGCAAACCAGGCAAUUUACCCAACGAACUUUUCAAGGAAGUCGGAGUGGCUGUAGGUCGUUUCUCCCACUUGUCUGAGUCCGAGCCCUCAGUGUUCGUAUUUUCACACAUGAACAAGAAUUCUUAAACACUUUUACCACUUGGUACCUGUCUACCCAACCUGAACAGAUGACCGUCAAUGCUUAUUGGUGAGUGUAAUGGCUUAUUAGAUACUGCAAUAUAUACUUUUAUGUCUAGUAGACUAUUUAGAUAGUUAAAAGCACACUUCUCCUCCUGAUAAAAUUUCAAUUUUUUGCACUGGCCUAAAACAUGAAAGGUAUUCAGUAAAUGGAUACUUACCAUGACAGGAUCUAUUUCAGGUUUGCAAGUCAGCUGGGGCAGCUUGGAUCAAUCUGGCUCAUUUGGAGCCCUGGUUACCCAGCAUAUGCACUUCUCAUGGCAAUGUCAGGAACACAAGAGAAAGAAGCCAACUAAACAAGCAUGUCUGAAGCCUUUGCUCAUCUCAUAUCUGCCAAUGUUCUAUCAAUAAAAUCAAGUCAACAGUCAAGCCAAAGUCAAGGAGAAUAUACCUGGCAGGCAUCUGGCUAUGGUAAAUAUAUAGCUGUAUAGAACUACUACAAAAGAAGGAAGACAAGUAAUUAAAUCAACUAUAAGUCACAAAUUAAAUUGACUAUAAACCAAA
rnacentral:lncRNA from 1 species